CGGACGGGUGAGUAAUGUCUGGGAAACUGCCUGAUGGAGGGGGAUAACUACUGGAAACGGUAGCUAAUACCGCAUAACGUCUCCGGACCAAAGUGGGGACCUUCGGGCCUCACACCAUCGGAUGUGCCCAGAUGGGAUUAGCUUGUAGGUGGGGUAAUGGCUCACCUAGGCGACGAUCCCUAGCUGGUCUGAGAGGAUGACCAGCCACACUGGAACUGAGACACGGUCCAG
rnacentral:rRNA from 1 species